UUCUCGUUCUUCUUCUUUCUCUUAUUUUCUUCUACUUCUGCUCAUCGCCUCUGGCGUUUUUUUGAGAUGAUUCCGAGGUCAAAAAUCAAAGAGAAACUUAGGGGAAUCAAUAAGAAUUGGUUUCUGGUGAUGUUGUUGAUAUUAUUUGAGAUUAGGAGAAGAAGGAGUGAUGAUGUUAAAUCGAAUUAGGGUUCUGUUCUUGAGUUGGAGGAGACAUUAAGAUGAGUUAUGAAUUCUGAUGGAUGAAGAUCGAAUGGGUUGGUAUUUAAUUAGAUUUUGAAGUUGAUUCACUGGAGAAUCAUUGAGGAGAUUUGGAUUAGGGUUUUCAGUAGAGUUGCAGAAGAGAAUACGAAGAUGAAAUGGAUACUCUAGAAGAUCAAUUGAACAUGGGUUUUGUGUGUUGAGCGUAAAGGAUACGAUUUAAUAUAUGGUUUUUGAUUCACAAAGAAGAAUUGGAGAUUUAGGGUUCCAUGUUCUUCCCCAAUUUAAGAACUAGAGUUUUGAGAAUUAAACUGAUGGUUAGGGAGGAGAUGAUAUGGUAUUGAUUGUUUGAAUCAUAUGGAAGAAAGGGUAGGUUUCAAUUGGGAUGAGACAACCUGAUCUGAGGUAAUUGACCUUCUCUGUGAUUUUACUUAAAUUAUGCAUUUCAAAUUGUUGAAUUUAUGAAUUUUUGUUGAGCUAAGAAUUGAAAUGAUAUUGGAGAGGGUGUUGUGAACUGUUGGUGUUGAAGUCCAUUGAGAUAAACUCAGUAAGGUUUUUUGAGUAUAAGUUUAUUAAUGGAUUAAGAAUUGAAUUGAAAUUGUUGGGUAUGUGCUUGAGUUGUAUUUGGUUAAGAUUGUGGGAGAAGAGGUGGAUGAAUAUAUUAAGUGAGAUUUGGACUGGUGCAGUAUGGCUGUGAUGAAGUUGUGUUUGAAUUUGUAGGAGUUGAUGAAGAUGUUGUAUUAGUGAAGUUGAGAUUGGAUAGUGGUGCAGGCAGUGUAUGUUUGAGAUAAACUCAGAAUAGUGCAGGAGCUGAGGGUAUUGGAGUUGCAUGUGGUAAGGAAAGUGAAAUGGAAGAACUUGCAGAGAAGAGAUGAGUUAAUGAUGAACUGUUGUAUGAGUCUCAGUUGAGUUGUGCAGGUCUUGUGACUAGUGGUUAUGGAAUAUUUUAGAGGUUGAACUGAACGGGGUGGUUGGUUGUUUGGCAAGAGUGAGUGUAGUUGUUAAUUGAAGUUGGGAACUGUGAUGAUAUGUGACUGAGUUAUAAGAACAAAUGUUUAAUGAGUGUGUGGAGUUGAUUAUCUCUUGUAGGAGCUUAAAGCUACAAUUGCAGUUAUUCUAUUUAACAACGAUCGAUUCAAAGGAUGAACCAGUGGAUUGUGGAUCUCGAGGUAGGCGUGGAUUGUCAUCAAAAGAGUAUAUAGAAUACGCUCAUUCAUUUUGGUGCGUAAGGAAUUGGUCGACACCAACAUCGAUGUGUAAGGAAUUGGUCGACAUCAAUGCAUAAUAUUGGAUGUGUAAGGAAUUGGUCGACAUACAAUAUAUUUCAUUGUCAAUGUAUACAAUUGGAUGUGUAAGGAAUCGGUCGACAUCCAAUAAUACAUUAUUUUGUCGAAGGAGUUAGUUCCAUAUACCAUGAUUGUUUGUUUAUGUAUUUUGGAUACCAUUUAGUGUUUUGGGAAAAACAUGAUUUGUUAUUGGAUGUGUAAGGAAUUGGUAGACAUCCAAUAAACUUCAUUAUCAAUGUAUAAUAUGGGAUGUGUAAGGAAUUGGUCGACAUACGAUAUAUUCAUUGUUUUUCCAAAUCAUUCCAAUGAUUACUUGAAAGUUAAAUGUUAUUCGUACUGGGCACUCUGUGCUCACCCUUUUCCACUUUCAGUUUUCAGAGACAGAUCAAAGUUGCGCAGCGAAAGGCACAAGUGU